rnacentral:rRNA from 1 species
GAUGAACGCUGGCGGCGUGCCUAACACAUGCAAGUCGAGCGGCAGCGGGGGGUGCUUGCCCCCUGUCGGCGCGCGGCGGACGGCUGUGUAACACGUGUGAAAGUGCCCCUAAGUGAGGAAUAACUGUCCGGAGGGGUAGAUAAUACCGCAUAUUAUCUUCGGAUCAAAGGAUUUAUCCGCUUUGGGUGGUUCUCUCUUCGGUUUAGGUAGUUGGGGUGGUAAUGGCGCAGCAAGGAGACGAUCCCUAGCUGGUCAGAGAGGAUGGCAAGCCAGACUGGAACGAGGACACGGUGCAGAAUCCUACGGAAGGGAGCAGUGAGGAAUCUAGCACAAUGGGCGAAAGGAAGAUGGAGCAACGGCGCGAGAAGGACGAAGGCGUGCGGGUAGGAAACAGCUUUUAUAAGUGAGGAAAAUGACGGUAACUGAAGAAGAAGGAUCGGCUAACUACGUG